CCGGAACCCUGUGUGCUGGGGAGGAAUCCCGCAGUGGCCGGGGGGCUUGAGGCCGCUGCUUUGUCUCUUCGUCCAGAGCCUUAUGUAAGAGCUUUUCUCGGGAAACAGGAAGUCCUGCUUGCCAAUUUCAGCACAGGGAGUAGUGCAGGCCUUAUUCCAACACACCCGGCCCAGCCUUAACCCCAGAACUCAGCCAGUUUCUUGCUUCCGUGCCCCUGGUUCUCCUCCCCAUCGAGCCCACCCCUCCUUUCCCACCUUCAGUCACCCCUAGUGAACUGCCCCAGCGAUCUCUGCUGUGCUUGACCCCGAGGGUCUUCCACCCUCGCCCUGACCCUGGACACUGCCCAGCUUGGCCCCCCAUCCUGCUCCUGGCACAAUGCCCUCUAGCCAGCCAACCUUCCCUCCCCCAACCCUGGGGCCGCCCCAGGGUUCCUGCGCACUGCCUGUUCCUCCUGGGUGUCACUGGCAGCCCUGUCCUUCCUAGAGGGACUGGAACCUAAUUCUCCUGAGGCUGAGGGAGGGUGGAGGGUCUCAAGGCAACGCUGGCCCCACGACGGAGUGCCAGGAGCACUAACAGUACCCUUAGCUUGCUUUCCUCCUCCCUCCUUUUUAUUUUCAAGUUCCUUUUUAUUUCUCCUUGCGUAACAACCUUCUUCCCUUCUGCACCACUGCCCGUACCCUUACCCGCCCCGCCACCUCCUUGCUACCCCACUCUUGAAACCACAGCUGUUGGCAGGGUCCCCAGCUCAUGCCAGCCUCAUCUCCUUUCUUGCUAGCCCCCAAAGGGCCUCCAGGCAACAUGGGGGGCCCAGUCAGAGAGCCGGCACUCUCAGUUGCCCUCUGGUUGAGUUGGGGGGCAGCUCUGGGGGCCGUGGCUUGUGCCAUGGCUCUGCUGACCCAACAAACAGAGCUGCAGAGCCUCAGGAGAGAGGUGAGCCGGCUGCAGGGGACAGGAGGCCCCUCCCAGAAUGGGGAAGGGUAUCCCUGGCAGAGUCUCCCGGAGCAGAUGACUCCGAUGUGACAGAGGUGAUGUGGCAACCAGCUCUUAGGCGUGGGAGAGGCCUACAGGCCCAAGGAUAUGGUGUCCGAAUCCAGGAUGCUGGAGUUUAUCUGCUGUAUAGCCAGGUCCUGUUUCAAGACGUGACUUUCACCAUGGGUCAGGUGGUGUCUCGAGAAGGCCAAGGAAGGCAGGAGACUCUAUUCCGAUGUAUAAGAAGUAUGCCCUCCCACCCGGACCGGGCCUACAACAGCUGCUAUAGCGCAGGUGUCUUCCAUUUACACCAAGGGGAUAUUCUGAGUGUCAUAAUUCCCCGGGCAAGGGCGAAACUUAACCUCUCUCCACAUGGAACCUUCCUGGGGUUUGUGAAACUGUGAUUGUGUUAUAAAAAGUGGCUCCCAGCUUGGAAGACCAGGGUGGGUACAUACUGGAGACAGCCAAGAGCUGAGUAUAUAAAGGAGAGGGAAUGUGCAGGAACAGAGGCGUCUUCCUGGGUUUGGCUCCCCGUUCCUCACUUUUCCCUUUUCAUUCCCACCCCCUAGACUUUGAUUUUACGGAUAUCUUGCUUCUGUUCCCCAUGGAGCUCCGAAUUCUUGCGUGUGUGUAGAUGAGGGGCGGGGGACGGGCGCCAGGCAUUGUCCAGACCUGGUCGGGGCCCACUGGAAGCAUCCAGAACAGCACCACCAUCUAGCGGCCGCUCGAGGGAAGCACCCGCCGGUUGGCCGAAGUCCACGAAGCCGCCCUCUGCUAGGGAAAACCCCUGGUUCUCCAUGCCACACCUCUCUCCAGGUGCCCUCUGCCUCUUCACCCCACAAGAAGCCUUAUCCUACGUCCUUCUCUCCAUCUAUCGGACCCCAGUUUCCAUCACUAUCUCCAGAGAUGUAGCUAUUAUGCGCCCGUCUACAGGGGGUGCCCGACGAUGACGGUGCCUUCGCAGUCAAAUUACUCUUCGGGUCCCAAGGUUUGGCUUUCACGCGCUCCAUUGCCCCGGCGUGGCAGGCCAUUCCAAGCCCUUCCGGGCUGGAACUGGUGUCGGAGGAGCCUCGGGUGUAUCGUACGCCCUGGUGUUGGUGUUGCCUCACUCCUCUGAGCUCUUCUUUCUGAUCAAGCCCUGCUUAAAGUUAAAUAAAAUAGAAUGAAUGAUACCCCGGC
rnacentral:lncRNA from 1 species